GACGAACCGUGCGAACGUUGUUCGGAAUCACUGGGCUUAAAGGGCGCGUAGGCGGGCGGUCAAGUCAGGGGUGAAAGCCCCCAGCUCAACUGGGGAAGUGCCUCUGAUACUGACCAUCUCGAGGGAGGUAGGGGCGUGCGGAACUUCCGGUGGAGCGGUGAAAUGCGUAGAGAUGUGGAGGAACACCAAUGGCGAAGGCAGCCUUCUGGGCCAACACUGACGCUCAUGCACGAAAGCGUGGGGAGCAAACAGG
rnacentral:rRNA from 1 species